GGGGAUGAUGUCAAGUCAGCAUGGCCUUUAUAUCCUGGGCUACACACACGCUACAAUGGCCAACACUUUUAAGGUUGCUAAGCCGCGAGGUGGCGCCAAUCCCAUAAAGUUGGUCUCAGUUCAGAUUGUAGGCUGCAACCCGCCUGCAUGAAGAUGGAGUUGCUAGUAACCGCAGGUCAGCUAUACUGCGGUGAAUACGUUCCCGGGGCUU
rnacentral:rRNA from 1 species